AGACUCAAUGUCUGUGAAUGCAAAGGAGACAGGAGGGACGCCACUCAGUCCUUUGUCCUUCCACCCACGCCUGCUCUUAGUUCUUCACCUGCAGCACGGUGGCCCGGUGACCAGCAAGAGCUGGUGUGCUCCUGAAGCCCAGGCAGGAAGAAGGAGCCUGCGUGUUCAGAGUCAAGAACACCACGCGGUAAUGGUAGAGAGACCCUGGAGGUCAGAGGCCUAGACUCCCACCGCCACCUGACCCUGGAGGAAGCAGACUCCUGGAGAUGCAAAGGAUACAGCACAGAGCUGCCAAGACCCGGUGAGUGGGGGCCAGAGCUACAAGACAGAAGGAGCGCAUGGCCUGGACUCUGCAAUGAACUGCUCCAGCAAGGAAUAAACAUCUAUUGUAUUGAGCCAUA